GCAUACAGCGUUCAUGUUUUUUUCUUUUUCAUCCAGACGGCUUCCCGCGCCCCCCCCUGUAAUGGCACGGCACCCCCCCCCUUGGGGGCGCGCCCCACAAUUUAGGAUCCUCUGCCUUA